rnacentral:misc_RNA from 1 species
CUUCUUCUCAUCGCCGAGGCAAUGAUCUGUGUUCUUGUUGUUCCCUUCCCUUGCACUGCUCUGAGCCUCUCUCUCUCUGGCAGCGAUGAGAGCUUGUGUACUCGAAGGGAGUUUUGUGCUGCGCUACCCACAUAUUUUCUUCAGUCUCGUCACAGCCCCUCAAGAGUUGUUGACGUGCGAGCAAGUAUGUGAGUGGGAGUGGCUUCACGUGGCAAGGCGUUCAUUGCACGCACCCGCGAAUUUCUCGACAAGUGAGGACACAUGUGGCUGACCAACGUGUGGACGGUGUGCCCACCGCAAGUGCGAAGGGAGGGAGGAAGGGAUAAGGAGCGAGAUAAAAGGAGAGUGGAGGCAGGGGACGAUUCUGUGCUGUGCGCUGGGGCGCAUGCCACUCGAUAGUGCGAGGGAAGGCGCAUCCAGCCGUGCCCCUUUCCCUCCUCCUGUCACUGUCGUAUGUCCCAAGGGCGCCGUUGUUUUACGCCCUUCAUUAUUUCCUUGUCCCUCUUCCGUUUUCUGUUUCCUGUGUGCUAAG